rnacentral:rRNA from 1 species
AAUAGAUACCCAGGUAGUCCACGCCGUAAACGAUGAGUGCUAAGUGUUAGGGGGUUUCCGCCCCUUAGUGCUGCAGCUAACGCAUUAAGCACUCCGCCUGGGGAGUACGGUCGCAAGACUGAAACUCAAAGGAAUUGACGGGGGCCCGCACAAGCGGUGGAGCAUGUGGUUUAAUUCGAAGCAACGCGAAGAACCUUACCAGGUCUUGACAUCCCAUUGACCACUAUGGAGACAUAGUUUUCCCUUCGGGGACAACGGUGACAGGUGGUGCAUGGUUGUCGUCAGCUCGUGUCGUGAGAUGUUGGGUUAAGUCCCGCAACGAGCGCAACCCUUGUUCUUAGUUGCCAUCAUUUUAGUUGGGCACUCUAAGGAGACUGCCGGUGACAAACCGGAGGAAGGUGGGGAUGACGUCAAAUCAUCAUGCCCCUUAUGACCUGGGCUACACACGUGCUACAAUGGACGGUACAAACGGUUGCCAACCCGCGAGGGGGAGCUAAUCCGAUAAAACCGUUCUCAGUUCGGAUUGUAGGCUGCAACUCGCCUACA